rnacentral:rRNA from 1 species
AACGCUGGCGGCGUGCCUAACACAUGCAAGUCGAACGGAGUUAUCGCUGAUGAAGCUUCGGCAGAAUCUUGAAUAACUAGUGGCGGACGGGUGAGUAACGCGUGGGUAACCUGCCUCAUACAGGGGGAUAGCAGUUGGAAACGACUGAUAACACCGCAUAAGCGCACAGUGUCGCAUGACACAGUGUGAAAAUAUUUAUAGGUAUGAGAUGGACCCGCGUCUGAUUAGCUAGUUGGUGAGGUAACGGCCCACCAAGGCGACGAUCAGUAGCCGGCCUGAGAGGCGGACGGCCACAUUGGGACUGAGACACGGCCCAAACUCCUACGGGAGGCAGCAGUGGGGGAUAUUGCACAAUGGGCGAAAGCCUGAUGCAGCGACGCCGCGUGAAGUGAAGAAGUAUUUCGGUAUGUAAAGCUCUAUCAGCAGGGAAGAAAGACCUCGUAAGAGGGGAUGACGGUACCUGAGUAAGAAGCCCCGGCUAACUACGUGCCAGCAGCAGC